UGUCAGCGGCGGGGGCGGCUGCCUCGGAAUGGGGCGCGCGGGCGACUCACGCGACAGGGAGUCCUCGGCAGGCCUGGGACGUCCUCCAGCUCCCGGGUGGGAGGGCGAGUGAGACGAGAGCCGGGCGGAGUUGGUUAGGGACCCGAGCCAGCUUGCUCCCCGGGAGCCGGCCACGGUUAGGUACCCACGCAGCUAGCUCUGGGCCGGCAGCGAGACGCGCCCUCCGGCCAUCAUCUCGGUCCGUUCGAUGAAGCGAGCCAGGGUGGGAAUCAUGCGCCUUCCGUGGGUCCUGCGGAGCAUCCAGUGUCCACACCGAGAGGUGAACCCGCCCGAGUCCUGAGGCUGAACGCCGCUGCCCCCGCCCCGCUGCGCGCCCGAGGUCCAGGACCAGAGUUUGAUUUCUUCUGUCUUGACUUCAUCCCCAUCCUCCCCUCCCCGCUCUUUGCUUGUGCCUUUAGUUUCUCUUGCGAUCAGGAUCUAGAGGUUUCCGGGGGAGUCUGACGAUAAAGCAAGCCCUAAAGUUGCAGGGACUUUACCCGUGUCCCAGGACGUGGAGGAUGAGCCCUGCCUCUCAUUCCAUUCCAAACGCAGAGUAUCUUGUUCUUUUCACUCAAGUGCGUUUUCCUUUCGUUACUUACAAAGCAAAUGGGAAAGGCUCCUAUAGCCUUGGUAUCUUCCAAAAUCUACUGCUCCGAGGGUCUUCUGAAUCUCCUGAGUAGAUGACACAGGAUCCCUUCCACACCGCAAAAUGCGGGAAACUCACAAGAACCCUGGCACCGUAAUGCCUAAUUCCAAUCUCCUCUAGCUAGCAGUAUGCCCUGGAUGUGUUACCCACCGCUUUAAGGUUUUUCUUUUUCCAUUUGCUUACCUUUAUAGCAAAUAUUUAUUGAGCACCUACUAUAUGUCAAGCAAUAUGAUAGGCUCUGAGGAUGCAGCUAUGGACAAGGCCAACAGGGCUCCAUCCUCAUGCAGCCUAUCUUCCAGUGGGAAAUCAAACAAUUUCUAAUAGUGAAAAGUCCCAUGGAGAAAAUAAAACAGGGCACCAUAACGAAGUGGCUGUGGAGGUGGGGUUGCCAGAUCAAUUGCAGGGCACCCAAUGAAAUUUGAAUUUCAAAUACAUGACGGAUGAAUAAUGUUUGAGUAUCCGUGAGUCCCAAACACUGCUUAAGACUUACUAAAAGACUAUUUGUUGUUUAUCUCAAAUUCCUUGUUUUGUAUUUUUAUUUUUAAAUCUGACAACCCCAUACAGAAGGUAGUUUUUUUUUUGUUUUUUUUUUUUUUUUUGACUGUUAUGUGUAUAUCUGAGAAGCUAAAUUUUAAGUUGAGGUUUAAAGAGGACAAAGAGCAGUCAUUGAAAGAUCUGAUUACAGAGCAUUCCAGGAAGAAGGAACAGCAGGUGCAAAGGCCUCAAGGCAGGAAGCAGCUUGGCUUGGCAUGGCAUGUUCAAGGACAGAUGGAACUGCUGCAAAAAUGUGGAAUAAGACCUGUAACCAAUCCUGGAAACUGUAGGAGUAUAUCAUAUGAGACUGACUUCAACUAUGGCCACCUUCUUGCUACCUUAUUGAACUGACUGGUUCCAGAUUAGGAAAGGAGUGAAAGUGCUGCACUCAAUAUGCCAACAAAUCUGGAAAACUCAGCAGUGGCCACAGGACUGAAAAAGGUCAGUUUUCAUUCCAAUCCCAAAGAAAGGCAAUGCCAAAGAAUGUUCAAACUACCACACAAUUGCACUCAUCUCACAUGCUAGCAAAGUAAUGCUCAAAAUUCUGCAGGCCAAGCUUCAAAAGUACAUGAAUCCUGAACUUCCAGAUGUUCAAGCUGGUUUUAAAAAAGGCAGAGGAACCAGAGAUCAAAUUGCCAACAUCCACUGGAUCAUCAAAAAAGCAAGAGAGUUCCAGAAAAACACCUACUUUUGCUUUAUUGACUACACCAAAGCCUUUGACUCUGUGGAUCACUACAAACUGUGGAAAAUUCUUAAAGAGCUGGGAAUACCAGAAAACCUGACCUGCCUCCUGAGAAAUCUUCAUGAAGGUCAAGAAGCAACAGUUAGAAUUGGACAUGAAACAACAGACUGGUUCCAAAUAGGAAAAGGAGUACAUCAAGGCUGUAUAUUGUCACCCUGCUUAUUUAACUUAUACGCAGAGUACAUCAUGCGAAAUGCUGGGCUGGAUGAAGCAUAAGCUGGAAUCAAGAUUGCCGGGAGAAAUAUCAAUAACCUCAGAUAUGCAGAUGACACCACCCUUAUGGCAGAAAGUAAAGAAAAACUAAAGAGCCUCUUGAUGAAAGUGAAAGAGGAGAGUGAAAAGGGUGGCUUAAAGCUCAACAUUCAGAAAAAUAAGAUCAUGGCAUCCGGUCCAUCACUUCAUGGCAAAUAGAUGGGGAAACAGUGGAAAGAGUGGCAGACUUUGUUUUUCUGGGCUCCAAAAUCACUGCAGAUGGUGAUUGCAGCCAUGAAAUUAAAAGACACUUGCUCCUUGGAAGGAAAGUUAUGACCAACCUAGACAGCAUGUUAAAAAGCAGAGACAUUACUUUGCCAACAAAGGUCCGUCUGGUCAAAGUUAUGGUUUUUCCAGUAGUCAUGUAUGGACGUGAGAGUUGGACUAUAAAGAGAGCUGAGCACUGAAGAAUUGAUGUUCUUGAACUGUGGUGUUGGAGAAGACUCUUGAGAGUCCCUUGGACUACAAGGAGAUCCAACCAGUCCAUCCUGGAGGAGACUGGUCCUAAGUGUUCAUUGGAAGGACUGAUGCUGAAGCUGAAACUCCAGUACUUUGGCCACCUGAUGCGAAGAGCUGACUCUUUGGAAAAGACCCUGAUGCUGGGAAAGAUUGAGGGUGGGAGGAGAAGGGGAUGACAGAGGAUGAGAUGGUUGGAUGGCAUCACCGACUCAAUGGACAUGAGUUUGGGUAAACUCCGGGAGUUGGUGGUGGACAGGGAGGCCUGGCGUGCUGCGGUUCAUGGGUUGCAAAGAGUUGGACACGACUGAGUGACUGAACUGAACUGAACUGAAUGGCAUAGAUUAGACAUGACUCAUCUUUGUAUCCACUUAGUACCUAGGACAGUUCUCUGUACUGUGGCAGUGCUCCUAAUGUAUGUGCUGAAUUGAACGAUUAGGUCCUUUUAUUACAUUUCUGACUUUAGAACUGAGAUUAUUGUUUUAAAAGUUACUCUUGUCACUUGAUUUUCUUAAUUUUCCAAUUUACUAUCAGAGAGAAUAAAUCACAGAGUAAUCUAAAAACACCAAAAAAUUGCCUUGCCUGAAAUAAAGUAUGAUUCCUCUUCACCAUAUCAACUACAGUAAGAUAGCAUAGUCUUCUCUAGUUCAAGCUGACCAAGUGAUUUCCAAACUGGAUGCCUUUACAACCUUUAUACAUGAGUGAUAUGGGUAGAAAAAUCAUUAUCUUUACUGUCCUCAAAUGGGUUCAAUGUAAGUGUGAUCUAUUCUUCCCUAUUUCUUCCUUCUUACUGA